AAGUCGUAACAAGGUUUCCGUAGGUGAACCUGCGGAAGGAUCAUUAACACGUAUCCACGUAUCAACCCCUUUGUGCUUUUUACGUUUUGACGUCCCUGCCUUGAGUGUGAAUUUCUGAGGUUGCGCGAGAAUCGAAUGGUGUCUCUUCGGAGGCAUUCUCGUGUUGCUGUUGUGAGCCUGCCCUUUCGGGGUGUGGGUAAACACAGGGGUUCGCAUUCUAUCGUGCAGGUUCAAUGUUAGCCAUUCUAGCAUGCCCUUUUUAUAACUAAACCCUUUGUAAACAUCUUGCUAACUUAAUUUGACUUGGGUUCUUGCAUCGACGCUUGCGUUGAAGUAGGGCUUAUUUCAAUAUUACGAAAUGCUUGACAACUCUUAGCAACGGAUAUCUUGGUUCUC
rnacentral:misc_RNA from 1 species